GACGAACGCUGGCGGCGCGCCUAACACAUGCAAGUCGAACGGAGCUGAGAGAAGCUUGCUUUUCUUAGCUUAGUGGCGAACGGGUGAGUAACGCGUGAGUAACCUGCCCUGGAGUGGGGGACAACAGUUGGAAACGACUGCUAAUACCGCAUAAGCCCACGAUCCGGCAUCGGCUUGAGGGAAAAGGAUUUAUUCGCUUCAGGAUGGACUCGCGUCCAAUUAGCUAGUUGGUGAGGUAACGGCCCACCAAGGCGACGAUUGGUAGCCGGACUGAGAGGUUGAACGGCCACAUUGGGACUGAGACACGGCCCAGACUCCUACGGGAGGCAGCAGUGGGGGAUAUUGCACAAUGGGGGAAACCCUGAUGCAGCGACGCCGCGUGGAGGAAGAAGGUUUUCGGAUUGUAAACUCCUGUCGUUAGGGACGAUAAUGACGGUACCUAACAAGAAAGCACCGGCUAACUACGU
rnacentral:rRNA from 1 species